rnacentral:rRNA from 1 species
AUGACCUCAUUGUCCGAUCUCAAGCACCUCAAACGGCUAUACUAUCUGGCUACCAACAAGUUCCUGCUCAUGGCCACCACCAUAACACUAGCAGCCGCCGUCCUCCUCCUACAAGCCGCACAACGGAUUGCCCCUAUAGACGAGCUUCUUUCCCAACUGCGUGAUCUCCAACCCAUCAACCUACUCUUGGCUGCCAUUCUUCCGACCGCCAUGCUUAGAAUCUACUCCUACCUCAUACGUCAUCCUAGAAAUGUGUACCUUGUCGAUUACGCUUGCUUCAGAACAAGCUACAAGUAUCGAGCCCCAAAGGCCACCUUCCUCGAGCAUGCACACAUCUCACCAUUCUUUGGCGAAUCUACCACUAAAUUCAUAGAACGUGUGAUUGAGCGCUCUGGCAUGGGUGAAGACACAUUGGUGCCACCUGCACUUUACUAUGUCGAGCCAGACUGUUCUCUAGAUGAAGGUCGCAGUGAGGCGGAGAUGGUCAUCUUCUCGACGAUCGAUGACCUAUUGGCCAAGACGUGCAUCGCCCUUGAUGCGAUCCACGUCCUAAUCACCAACUGCAGCCUGUUUUGCCCAGUGCCAUCCAUCGCCGACCGGAUCGUCAACGGGUAUGCGCUGCGAGACGACAUCCGCGUGAUCAACCUCUCCGGAAUGGGGUGCAGUGCAGGGGUGACCGCGGUGGGGCUCGCAAAGAACAUGCUGCAGAUCAUUCCUUCGGGAUCACAUGUGUUGGUGGUGUCCACGGAGACCCUUGGUCCGCAAUACUACAAGGGGAAUGUGCGUUCCAUGCACUUGGGAAACAUUUUGUUCCGUGUGGGUGGCAGCGCCAUGCUGUUAUCGACUUGUAAGCACAAGGCCCGGUUCAAGCUUGCACACGUCGAGCGGACGCUCGUCGGUGCAGAUGACGCUGCUUACCGGUGCGUUUACCAAGAGGAUGAUCCUGAGGGAAACAUAGGGCUCACUCUAUCAAAAGACCUCAUGGCCAUCGCCGGAGAAACGCUCAAGGCCAACAUGACCGCAAUCGGACCGCUCGUCCUACCAACCUCAGAGUUGAUCAAAUAUCUAUUUUCCAUGGCAAGAAAGGUGCUCCACCGGAGGAAGAUCAGGCCAUACAUCCCUGACUUCCGAAUGGCGUUUGAGCACUUCUGCAUCCAUGUUGGUGGACCAGCGGUGAUCGACUCCGUACAGCUUGGCCUCAGUCUAUCAGACGAGCAUGUUGAACCAUCGCGUAUGACGCUGCAUCGGUUUGGGAACCAAUCAAGUGCAUCCGUGUGGUACCAGUUGGCCUACAUCGAAGAUAAGGGCCGAAUGCGGAAGGGUGAUAGGGUGUGGAUGAUCGGGUUCGGAGCCGGGUACAAGUGCAACACCGCCGUGUGGGUGUGCAUCCAACCAUCCCCCAAUGCCAAUGGAUCAUGGGCUAGCUGCAUCCAUCGUUACCCAGUGGAUGUCUCCAAAGAAGGUGGUUCAGCUUAG